rnacentral:rRNA from 1 species
UACCAGCACCCCGAGUGGUCGGGACGUUUAUUGGGCCUAAAGCAUCCGUAGCCGGUUCUACAAGUCUUCCGUUAAAUCCACCUGCUUAACAGAUGGGCUGCGGAAGAUACUAUGGAGCUAGGAGGCGGGAGAGGCAAGCGGUACUCGAUGGGUAGGGGUAAAAUCCGUUGAUCCAUUGAAGACCACCGGUGGCGAAGGCGGCUCUCUGGACCGACACUGACGCUGAGGCGCGAAAGCGUGGGGAGCAAACAGG